AGACCCGAAACCCGGUGAUCUAGCCAUGGGCAGGUUGAAGGUUGGGUAACACUAACUGGAGGACCGAACCGACUAAUGUUGAAAAAUUAGCGGAUGACCUGUGGCUGGGGGUGAAAGGCCAAUCAAACCGGGAGAUAGCUGGUUCUCCCCGAAAGCUAUUUAGGUAGCGCCUCGUGAAUUCAUCUCCGGGGGUAGAGCACUGUUUCGGCUAGGGGGCCAUCCCGGCUUACCAACCCGAUGCAAACUGCGAAUACCGGAGAAUGUUAUCACGGGAGACACACGGCGGGUGCUAACGUCCGUCGUGAAGAGGGAAACAACCCAGACCGCCAGCUAAGGUCCCAAAGUCAUGGUUAAGUGGGAAACGAUGUGGGAAGGCCCAGACAGCCAGGAUGUUGGCUUAGAAGCAGCCAUCAUUUAAAGAAAGCGUAAUAGCUCACUGGUCGAGUCGGCCUGCGCGGAAGAUGUAACGGGGCUAAACCAUGCACCGAAGCUGCGGCAGCGAACGUAUCACCCAAGACAACUUUACGGAGUUGACGAUUGACGGAGCGAAGCGACGUCAAAGCGUUCAUUAAAGUCGAGUUGGCUUAGGGAUACGUUCGUUGGGUAGGGGAGCGUUCUGUAAGCCUGUGAAGGUGUGUCGUGAGGCAUGCUGGAGGUAUCAGAAGUGCGAAUGCUGACAUAAGUAACGAUAAAGCGGGUGAAAAGCCCGCUCGCCGGAAGACCAAGGGUUCCUGUCCAACGUUAAUCGGGGCAGGGUGAGUCGACCCCUAAGGCGAGGCCGAAAGGCGUAGUCGAUGGGAAACGGGUUAAUAUUCCCGUACUUGGUGUUACUGCGAAGGGGGGACGGAGAAGGCUAUGUUGGCCGGGCGACGGUUGUCCCGGUUUAAGCGUGUAGGUGUGUGUUCCAGGUAAAUCCGGUUCACUUUAACACUGAGGCGUGACGACGAGGCACUACGGUGCUGAAGCAACAAAUGCCCUGCUUCCAGGAAAAGCCUCUAAGCAUCAGGUAACAUCAAAUCGUACCCCAAACCGACACAGGUGGUCAGGUAGAGAAUACCAAGGCGCUUGAGAGAACUCGGGUGAAGGAACUAGGCAAAAUGGUGCCGUAACUUCGGGAGAAGGCACGCUGACACGUAGGUGAAGUGAUUUACUCAUGGAGCUGAAGUCAGUCGAAGAUACCAGCUGGCUGCAACUGUUUAUUAAAAACACAGCACUGUGCAAACACGAAAGUGGACGUAUACGGUGUGACGCCUGCCCGGUGCCGGAAGGUUAAUUGAUGGGGUCAGCGCAAGCGAAGCUCCUGAUCGAAGCCCCGGUAAACGGCGGCCGUAACUAUAACGGUCCUAAGGUAGCGAAAUUCCUUGUCGGGUAAGUUCCGACCUGCACGAAUGGCGUAAUGAUGGCCAGGCUGUCUCCACCCGAGACUCAGUGAAAUUGAACUCGCUGUGAAGAUGCAGUGUACCCGCGGCAAGACGGAAAGACCCCGUGAACCUUUACUAUAGCUUGACACUGAACAUUGAGCCUUGAUGUGUAGGAUAGGUGGGAGGCUUUGAAGUGUGGACGCCAGUCUGCAUGGAGCCGACCUUGAAAUACCACCCUUUAAUGUUUGAUGUUCUAACGUGGACCCGUAAUCCGGGUUGCGGACAGUGUCUGGUGGGUAGUUUGACUGGGGCGGUCUCCUCCUAAAGAGUAACGGAGGAGCACGAAGGUUGGCUAAUCCUGGUCGGACAUCAGGAGGUUAGUGCAAUGGCAUAAGCCAGCUUGACUGCGAGCGUGACGGCGCGAGCAGGUGCGAAAGCAGGUCAUAGUGAUCCGGUGGUUCUGAAUGGAAGGGCCAUCGCUCAACGGAUAAAAGGUACUCCGGGGAUAACAGGCUGAUACCGCCCAAGAGUUCAUAUCGACGGCGGUGUUUGGCACCUCGAUGUCGGCUCAUCACAUCCUGGGGCUGAAGUAGGUCCCAAGGGUAUGGCUGUUCGCCAUUUAAAGUGGUACGCGAGCUGGGUUUAGAACGUCGUGAGACAGUUCGGUCCCUAUCUGCCGUGGGCGCUGGAGAACUGAGGGGGGCUGCUCCUAGUACGAGAGGACCGGAGUGGACGCAUCACUGGUGUUCGGGUUGUCAUGCCAAUGGCACUGCCCGGUAGCUAAAUGCGGAAGAGAUAAGUGCUGAAAGCAUCUAAGCACGAAACUUGCCCCGAGAUGAGUUCUCCCUGAGAC
rnacentral:rRNA from 1 species